rnacentral:lncRNA from 1 species
GAAGCUAUAGAUAAGGAACAAGUAAAUGAUAACAUCGUAAUCAAUAAUUUGUGCAAAUACUGGGUUAAAAUUGCGCAAAAAACAAAUUCGAUUAGCUACAUGAAAGAUACUAAGCAAAACAAAAGAAGAAAAAGAGGUUAAAUUACAGCUAAAUCUUACUAAAGGAGCCACCUUUAUCGAAGAUGAAGAGAAGAAGCAAGGAAAUGGCAACAUGGUAAUCAUUAUUUAGUAAAGAUAUUGCAAAGGAGCGGAGAAUGAUUAGAGAGGAACCAAAUUUGACUCAAAACCAUAAACUCGCACUCAAAAAAGGAGCUAGCGAGAGAAGCGAACACAGCAUUAUAUAUAUAAAACCACAAAAAGGGGGAAAAUUGAAAUAGUGGAGAUUAGUGGAGACCGAGAGAGAGAAAGAGAGAGAAAGCGCCAUGAGAGGGGCUUAAAGAGGAGGAGGAAGAGAAGAGUAGGUACGUCUCCGGCGAGGAGGGAUCGGGGGCGUC